rnacentral:rRNA from 1 species
ACGCGUAUUCGAAGGACUCUCGGCAACGGAUAUCUCGGCUCUUGCAUCGAUGAAGAACGUAGCGAAAUGCGAUACUUGGUGUGAAUUGCAGAAUCCCGUGAACCAUCGAGUCUUUGAACGCAAGUUGCGCCCGAAGCCAUUAGGCUAAGGGCACGCCUG